rnacentral:lncRNA from 1 species
CCGUGUAUGUUGGCUAUUGUAGGUUCAGGUUCGCAGUUUGGAGUAAGAUACAUCUAGAUGGAAUCUAUCGAUCUUGGUAGAAAAGGAGAAGUCCUAUGCGAUUCAUAAGACUGAGUUUAAAAAAUCUCUGACCAAAGUAAGUAUGAAUACUGAAAAAGAGUUUCCAUAAAAUUCAUAAAUAAACUUGAGUCGAGCCAAUCUAGC